rnacentral:misc_RNA from 1 species
AUAUGAUUAGCACAAAUUGACAAUAUAAACACAUCAACAGGGAUAUAUAAUAGCCACGCUAUCAUCAUUAUUUUCCUAUCAUUGUGGCUAACACAGUCAGAUAGUUCGUUAAUGUUACGACCGGUCUCUGACCGGUUUUUUU